GGAGGUGCUUGAAAAGGGAAGAGCAGCAAUGCCUUCAAUGCAGAAGUCUCAGGUUGUGGGCAGGCAGCCCAUCAGAGGAGGGUAUAUAAGCCGGGCAUGGUUCAUAGUCUCACUCAGGAAAAGUCACAUCAGGCAAGAAGAGGCAGCUGUUGAGCUCCAUCCAGCAAAGCAAGACCAUAGAACAUAUAUCACAAAGCAAAGAAAUGAACAGAGCCCUGCUGGUGAACAUUUCGGUGUGUGUCCCCGCCUCUCUCACAAACACACUGCCAUAAAUCAGAGACCUUGCACUCAAGUGCUUGCAGCCUGAUCCAUAAGCCACUUACAAUGGAAUAAAUGAAGUUAAUCCUACCGAUAUCAAAA